rnacentral:rRNA from 1 species
GUGCGAUAAGGGGACUCCGAGUGCGAGGGCAUACAGUCCUCGCUAUUGUGUACCGUAGGGUGGUACACGGCCAAGAGCUGGGCAAGACCGGUGCCAGCCGCCGCGGUAAUACCGGCAGCUCGAGUGAUGGCCGAUUUUAUUGGGCCUAAAGCGUCCGUAGCUGGCCCUGCAAGUCCGUCGGGAAAUCCACUCGCCUAACGGGUGGGCGUCCGGCGGAAACUACAGGGCUUGGGACCGGAAGACUUGAGGGGUACGUCUGGGGUAGGAGUGAAAUCCUGUAAUCCUGGACGGACCGCCGAUGGCGAAAGCACCUCAAGACGACGGAUCCGACAGUGAGGGACGAAAGCUAGGGUCUCGAACCGGAUUAGAUACCCGGGUAGUCCUAGCCGUAAACGAUGUUCGCUAGAUGUGGCACAGGCUACGUGCCUGUGCUGUGUCGUAAGGAAGCCGAGAAGCGAACCGCCUGGGAAGUACGUCCGCAAGGAUGAAACUUAA